CGUGAAAUCAUAGGCUGGUCAUAAUGAGUGCUCAGCAGGCUGUCCUUGCCCCUUCUGCUCCCUCCAGUUCCCCAACCAGGAUUCCUAAUUUACUCAGCUGUCUUUUAGCACAGGUCUGAUUCAGUAUUGUAUUUGUCAUCCCCAGCUUUCUUGAUUCACUGGCUGAAAAGCAGGAAACACAACCCUGCACCUGGUGGGAUUCAGCACUGGAGAAAUGCCUGUCUAAAGACUGGAGUUGGGCUUUCCUUUUAUAUAAAUUGAGUAAGUUUACAGGGAAUCUCUUCUUACAGGGAACACACAGAGAAUUCUGUUUCUUUGUCAAUCUCUGACUUCUGCCAAGUGCUCAGCUUUCAUUCCAGAUCUGUUCACCAUCAGCCCUAUCUUCAAUUUAUUCCAUAUAAGUUGAGAUGCUGUAAUUGGACUUCUCCAAGUCUGCACAGCCUUGUCCUAAAGUACGUCAAAUGUCUUAUCCAGGCUUUGAUUACUCUGAUGGACUACAGACAUCCUGUUUGUUUGUUUAUUAGGCAGCUUCUUAUCUCAGUUGCAGACUUAGGAAACUCCAUCAUUUCAGUUGCACAGCUCCAGCAAUUAGGCUUCCUGCUUUUCUGAUCUGGCUGGUGCUACCAUACCCUUUGUAAGGACCAGGAGAAGGAGGCAUAAGAAAGAAAGCAUCACCACUGGGAGCAGUCAGCAGUAUAAGCUUCUUGGGAAUGAGAGCCAGUGCAAAGCAGGAAGUUUGUCAGGAAAAUCCUGGGAGAAUUAUCUCUUUUUCUUUUCAGAGGAUAUGUGAUUACCACACUUCAUCCCACGCUGUGCUCAUAUAAGGAACACUUAGCUCUGCAGAGCCUCCUGGAGAUGACCCUGUUCUUCCCAGGACAAGUAACUUGCACUUUGCACAACAAAACAGCUUACCCGAACAGAAUAUCAUUGGUCAGAAAUUGCAUUAAAUGGGAGCAGAAGACCACAGGAGCCUGUGGCUGGAAUGGCAAAAAAGGUACAGUUACUGUAAUUGAGGCAGAAGAAAUGUAUUGCAGUGGAGGGUUUUGUGAGCAUGACGCAUAAUAGGGUGAUUGCCAUGGAAAGAGUAAUUUGCAGCGUUUAAAAUACUUCCUCCAGUGGUGAGAAGAUCUGCAGAAAAUUAUUAAAGGAUCUCCCACUGC
rnacentral:lncRNA from 1 species